UAGGAUAGCUCAGUUGGUAGAGCAUGAGGCUCUUAAUCUUAGGGUUAUGGGUUCGAUCCCCACAGUGGGCAAAA